rnacentral:rRNA from 1 species
UUGGAGGGCAAGUCUGGUGCCAGCAGCCGCGGUAAUUCCAGCUCCAAUAGCGUAUAUUAAAGUUGUUGCAGUUAAAAAGCUCGUAGUUGAAUUUCGAGAUCAAAUUGUUGGUCGUGCCUUGGUACGUACUGGCAUUAUUGAUUUCUCCCUUCUGAAGAACCACGAUGUCAUUAAUUUGGUGUCAUGGGGAAUCAGGACUGUUACUUUGAAAAAAUUAGAGUGUUUAAAGCAGGCUAACGCUUGAAUACAUUAGCAUGGAAUAAUGAAAUAGGACGUUUGAUUCUAUUUUGUUGGUUUCUAGGAUUGACGUAAUGAUUAAUAGGGAUAGUUGGGGGCAUUAGUAUUCAAUUGUCAGAGGUGAAAUUCUUGGAUUUAUUGAAGACUAACUACUGCGAAAGCAUUUGCCAAGGAUGUUUUCAUUAAUCAAGAACGAAAGUUAGGGGAUCGAAGACGAUCAGAUACCGUCGUAGUCUUAACCAUAAACUAUGCCGACUAGGGAUCGGAUGAUGUUAAUUUUUUAAUGACUCAUUCGGCGCCUUACGGGAAAC